UGUGAAUUGCAGAUUUUCAGUGAAUCAUCGAAUCUUUGAACGCACCUUGCGCUCCUCGGUAUUCCGAGGAGCAUGCCUGUUUGAGUGUCAUUUAAUUCUCAACCAUGUCUUGUGACCGAGGCUUGGCUUGGACUUGGGGGUCGCUGGUGGCGAAGGCCGUCGGCUCUCCUGAAACGCAUUAGCAAAGGGCAGCAAGUCUGUGGCGUGGCACGGCCUUUUCGACGUGAUAACGAUCGUCGUGGGCUGGAAGCGUCCGGGCAUGCAUCGGAUUGUCUUGUUUGCUUCCAAAAACACCCUUCGAUUGGACUCCGGGGCUCGACCGGGGUCGGCUUAGCUAUUAGUUGGUCGUGAGGCCGACGAACGCGGUCGACUUUGGCAAACGUUGGGUCGGCUUAGCUAUUAGUUGGUCGUGAGGCCGACGAACGCGGUUCGACUCGGCAAAAAGGUUGGGUUGGCUUUAGCUAUUAGUCGGUCGUGAGGCCGACGAACGCGGGUCGGCUUGGCUUCGAGCGUUCGUGGUCCGGGUU
rnacentral:rRNA from 2 species